rnacentral:rRNA from 1 species
GUGAGGAAUAUUGGUCAAUGGGCGGGAGCCUGAACCAGCCAAGUCGCGUGAAGGAAGAAGGAUCUAUGGUUCGUAAACUUCUUUUGCAGGGGAAUAAAGUGCAGGACGUGUCCUGUUUUGUAUGUACCCUGAGAAUAAGGAUCGGCUAACUCCGUGCCAGCAUCCGCGGUAAUACGGAGGAUCCGAGCGUUAUCCGGAUUUAUUGGGUUUAAAGGGUGCGUAGGUGGUUUGAUAAGUCAGCGGUGAAAGUUUGCAGCUUAACUGUAAAAAUGCCGUUGAAACUGUCGGACUUGAGUGUAAAUGAGGUAGGCAGAAUGCGUGGUGUAGCGGUGAAAUGCAUAGAUAUCACGCAGAACUCCGAUUGCGAAGGCAGCUUACUAAGCUACAACUGACACUGAAGCACGAAAGCGUGGGGAUCAAACAGGAUUAGAAACCCGAGUAGUCC